rnacentral:rRNA from 1 species
GGGGCGCAUGGUGGAUGCCUUGGCACGCAGAGCCGAUGAAGGACGUAUGAAGUUGCGAUAAUCCUCGGGGAGCUGCUAACAAAGCUUUGAUCCGAGGGUCUCCGAAUGAGGAAACUCACCUAGUGUCAUUGCUAGGUAUCUCUUUGAUAGAGAGGGGAACGUAGGGAAGUGAAACAUCUCAGUACCUACAGGAAAAGACAUUCCGAAAGUAGUGGCGAGCGAAAUCGGACGAAGGCCAAACCAUGACUGUGUGAUAUGUGCAAGCAGUUGCAGCCAUGGUGUAGUGGGAAUAGACGUUUGAGCACUUGCAAGCUUAAAGACGGUAACAAAGAGACGUUCGAGAGGAAGCUGGUUGAAUACAGCACCACAGAAGGUGAAGGUCCUGUACUCGUACGUGCGUCUCCCGUCUGUUCUAUCUCCCAAGUAAGGCGGAACACGAGGAACUCCGUCUGAAUCUGCCCCGACCGCGGGGUAAGCCUGAAUACUACUGCGUGACCGAUAGUGUACAAGUACCGUGAGGGAAAGGUGAAAAGUACCCCGGGAGGGGAGUGAAAUAGUUCCUGAAACCAUGUGCCUGCAAACCGUUAGAGCACCUUUAAGGUGUGAUAGCGUGCCUAUUGAAAAAUGAGCCUGCGAGUUAGAGAUAUGCGGCAAGCUUAACCCGUGAGGGGGAGGCGCAGCGAAAGCGAGUCCGAAUAGGGCGUAUCAGUCGUGUGUUCUAGACCCGAAGCGGGAUGAUCUAGGCGUGGUCAGGUUGAAGCGUGGGUAAGACUGCGUGGAGGACCGAACCGGAGUAGGUUGAAAACUGCUCGGAUGAACUACGUCUAGGGGUGAAAGGCUAAUCAGAUUCCGUGAUAGCUGGUUCUCUCCGAAAUGUAUUUAGGUACAGCGUUACGUGUUCCCUUGCGGGGGUAGAGCUACUGGUUGACGGCGGGCUUAUUGCAAGUACCAAUGUCAGCCAAACUCCGAAUACCGUAUAGGCUAAGCGUAGCAGUGAGACGGCGGGGGAUAAGCUUCGUCGUCAAAAGGGAAACAGCCCAGAACGACGUCUAAGGACCCUAAGCGUGUGCUAAGUGGGAAAGGAUGUGAGGUCGCAUAGACAGCCAGGAGGUUGGCUCAGAAGCAGCCACCCUUAAAAGAGUGCGUAACAGCUCACUGGUCCAGCGCCCUUGCGCCGAGAAUGUAGCGGGGCUUAAGCACACCUCCGAAGACACGUCAGUAAUGUUUACAUUGCUGGGUAGGAGAGCGUUGAAUAGAGGAUGAAGCUAAAAGGAUAACCUCUAGUGGACACUAUUCAAGUGAGAAUGCAGGCAUGAGUAACGACAAGGGAAGUGAGAAUCUUCCCCGCCGAAUGACUGAGGGUUCCAGGGCCACGCUUGUCGUCCCUGGGUGAGUCGGGACCUAAGGUGAGGCCGACAGGCGUAACCGAAUGGAUGAAGGAGUUGAUAUUCUCCUACCGGUUCAAGACCGACAAAGUCCGAAUGAGAUAGUCUUGUGAUUUUUGUGUGAGGGUAUGAAACUUCGGUUUUUUAUUCGAUCGUAAAGAUCUUCAAGUUCUGCUCUACUAGGAGAGCAUAGGAGUGACGCAGGAAGGUAGCCGGCUGCGGUGGUGGUUAUCCGUGGUUAAACGUGUAGGCUGUUUUGGCAGGUAAAUCCACCAAAACUUUCAAAGCUGAGGCGCGACGAUGGAUCCCUUAAGGGAUGAACUCGGUGAUCCUAUACUGCCAAGAAAAACUUCGAUGUGAGGUCUUGCUCCGCUCGUACCCAAACCGACACUGGUAGUCAGGAAGAGAAUUCUAAGGCGAUCGAGAGAACCCUGGUCAAGGAACUCGGCAAAUUGCUCCCGUAACUUCGGAAGAAGGGAGACUCCCCGCGGUGAAUAUAUCUUGCGUAUAUGAGCUGUAAGGAGUGGCACAAGCCAGGGGGUAGCGACUGUUUACCAAAAACACAGGUGCAUGCUAAGACGUAAGUCGCUGUAUAUGCACUGACGCCUGCCCGGUGCCGGAAGGUUAAGCAGAGCUGUUAGGUUUUACCAAAGCAGCGAAGUUAAGCCCCGGUAAACGGCGGUGGUAACUAUAACCAUCCUAAGGUAGCGAAAUUCCUUGUCGGGCAAGUUCCGACCUGCACGAAUGGCGUAACGACUUCCCCACUGUCUCGACCAGGGUCUCGGUGAAAUUGCAGUACGAGUAAAGAUGCUCGUUACGCGCAGAAGGACGAAAAGACCCCGGGACCUUUACUGCAACUUGGUAUUGUCAUUCGGUAUUUGUUGUGCAGCAUAGGCGGAAGACUAUGAAGCAGUGGCGCCAGCCAUUGUGGAGUCAACAAGUGAGAUACCGCUCUGCAAAUAGUGGAUGUCUAACUUCAAAAAGAACAAUCCUUUUUAAGGACAGUGCCUGGCAGGCAGUUUAACUGGGGCGGUUGCCUCCUAAAAGAUAACGGAGGCGCUCAAAGGUUCCCUCAGGCCGGUUGGCAAUCGGCUGUUGAGUGUAAACGCACAAGGGAGCUUAACUGUGAGAGCGGCGGCUCGAGCAGGGACGAAAGUCGGAGUUAGUGAUCCGGUGCCAGCGCGCGGGCGUGGCAUCGCUCAACGGAUAAAAGGUACCCCGGGGAUAACAGGCUGAUCAUUCCCAAGAGUCCAUAUCGACGGAAUGGUUUGGCACCUCGAUGUCGGCUCGUCGCAUCCUGGGGCUGGAGCAGGUCCCAAGGGUUCGGCUGUUCGCCGAUUAAAGCGGCACGCGAGCUGGGUUCAGAACGUCGUGAGACAGUUUGGUCUCUAUCCUCUGCGCGCGUUGGAGUCUUGAGGAGAUCUACCCCUAGUACGAGAGGACCGGGGCGGACGAACCUCUGGUGUGCCAGUCGUCUUGCCAAAGGCGCGGCUGGUUGGCCACGUUCGGAUCGGAUAACCGCUGAAAGCAUCUAAGCGGGAAGCCGUCUCCAAGAUGAGGACUCCGUGU